UACGUAGGAUGCAAGCGUUGUCCGGAAUUAUUGGGCGUAAAGAGUUCGUAGGCGGUUGCCUAAGUCUGGUGUUAAAUACAGGAGCUCAACUCCUGCAUGGCACUGGAAACUGGGCGGCUAGAGUGCGGUAGAGGGUAGUGGAAUUCCCGGUGUAGCGGUGAAAUGCGUAGAGAUCGGGAGGAACACCAGUGGCGAAGGCGGCUACCUGGACCAGCACUGACACUGAGGCACGAAAGCGUGGGGAGCAAACAGG
rnacentral:rRNA from 1 species